CGCGCGAAAGCGCCGCACGACGAUCACGACCCGCGGCAUGCAAGUCUAAUGCGCAUUGUGCGCCUCUCGCGCGCUGAAAUAUGAUUCGCGGCGGAUUUUCACUCUCUCGCGGCACGCAACGCAGGCGCCAAGGAGAGAUACGCGCUCGAGUUUUAAGAAGAGAGGCUGCGGCCGUAACGGCUGAUUUACGACAAGCCGGCCUGAAUAAUUGGUGGGCGGCGCGAACUGCCCCGGCUGCCGCUUCUGCUUCUGGAUUUUUCAGGUGCCCGGCGACGCGCCCGGAGAACUUUGAUUUGUGCGCGCGCGCGUGACAGUCGCUACGCGACUCGCUCUCUUCGCAUUCCGUCUUUCGGCUCGAGGCACGGACAAAGCUCGGAUAACGAGCUGCAAAGUAGCACGUAAAAUGACAAGGCUGUUACGCGAGGAAUGAUCAUAUCGGGAGAACGUGCUCGGAUAUCGUCCGCCGCGAUUGUAUAAAACGCUCGAUUUUUCCCAAAUCUAUCGUCAGUACGAGUAAUAAACUCGCGAAAUGAGGAUCGUCCUGCUAGCUGCGCUGUUGCUGGCUGGGCUGGCGUCGGCGUCGGCGAAAAAAUCGAUGCUGCUGACGCUCGUUGUUCAGGCGAAAGUGUCGCUGCCGCCGUCACCGUGCCCCGACUCAACGUCCUCGGAAGCCGAGUCGGAAAGGUCGCUCGGUCCGUUGCUGCGAAAGCUGUUCGAUGCGCCACCGUCGUCGCUCACCUCGAGAUCGUCGACGGAGCAGUUUUCCCAGACGGCAACGUCGCCGCCACCAACGUUACCUCCGCCAAUGACGUCGGCCGAACCACCCUCGUCGCCGUCGGGAUCGCCUUACCAAGUGCUGUCGUUCCCAGAUCUAUCGCUACCACGACCGUUGCCGGGUGAACCGUUUUCGCCACCAGCAUUACCCUCGUUAACGUCACCAUCGCCGAUGCAGUUUUACCUAAUGAUACCACUGCAACCGUACCUGUGUUACCAAACGUCGCCAAUGCCACUGGUGACGUACGAGAUGCCGCGAUUGUGUAGAUGUCGCCAACAUUUCAAGUAAAGAUGUCCUUUGCAGGUGAAAAAUCCGUACGUCGUCAUCGCCAGCAUCAAACCGUCAUCGCCAGAUGGAAUCUCCAGGCGCAUAAAAUUUAUUCGUCGCGCGGCGCAGAUCCCACCCACGCGUAUACUCGCGCGGUAGCCAUCGUAAAAUAUAUCGCGAGACUCGUGUGGCCGUGCCUCGCGAUGGUAAUCGCCGCCGCUCGUGCAGGGAGGACCUAUAAAUGCGCAUUCAAAUCGCGGAAUGCAAAAGCGCGUAGGCGACGAGAAGAUUUUGUUUACUUGUUGCUUUCUCUCUCUCCGGGCUACGUAUUUGCGCGAAAAUCGCUUAAUUCGCGAUCACCGGCGAGCGCCGCAUCUCCCUUCUAAGUUUCGUUCGAUGGCAAUUUACGGCGCGUGCGUGUGAUUCACGACGAUCUUAUCGCGGAAAACAAACAUCAGCUGGCAAUCCUGUGCUGUCUGUGUCUUUCUCACAUGUGUAUGUACAUAUAUAUAUAUAUAUUUUUUUUAUUUUACAACCUGCCAGUUACGAGGUAUAAAAUUUUGCGGCACGGUUGCGAGCGAAAAGUUUCAAGACUCAUCUGCAUGGAAAGGUUGGGCUACAUCGAAAUGAUUGUAAUUCUGCUUGAAUGUAAUUUCACGUUACGCAAUAAAUGACUUAUAAUAAAA